rnacentral:rRNA from 1 species
CCUAAGUCGAGUCCGAAAGGGGUAGACGAUGGCAAAUUGAUUAAUAUUUCAAUACCAACAUAUAAGCGCGAUGUGGGGACGCAUAGAGUUAAUCGAGGUCACUGAUGGAAUAGUGGCUCGAAGGACGUAGGCUGUUAAGUAGGCAAAUCCGCUUAACAUUAGGCCGAGAUCUUACAGGCUCUUGACACUCUUCGGAGGAGAUGGAGAAUCGAUGAUACUGUCGUGCCAAGAAAAGCCACUAAGUUUAUUAUAUGUUGCCCGUACCGUAAACCGACACAGGUGGGUGGGAUGAGUAUUCUAAGGCGCGUGGAAGAACCCUGGUUAAGGAACUCUGCAAACUACC